UCCCUCCUCUUCUCAUCUCCAUCGCGUGCCCUAAAUAUAAAAGUUUGUACUUAAAUCUUUUUCCCUUUUAAUCUCAAAAUUCCAUGAGUUCCUUUGCCCCAACAUCAAAUCCCUAAACCUUUUCUUUUUCUCUCCAUGAAUUUAUAUAUAUAUAUAUGCAUAUAACAAAUGAUUCAUUGAUUUGGGAUCGGUUACUGCUCUAAAGAACACCAGAAAAUUUAUCAAGAGUGGUUCAACUUCGUUGAUUCAGAUAAUGAUGGACGCAUUACUGGAAAUGAUGCAAUCAAGUUUAUUGGUAUGUCAAAUUUAUCGCGACCAGAUCUCAAGCAGCUACAUUCUUGUUUUGAUUCCUUAAUGGUGUGGACAACUGUUGAUUCUAAGAGGCAGAGAUUUCUUGGUUUCAAAGAAUUUGUUUUUGCUAUGCAGCUGGUUUCGCUGGUGCAAGAAGGUCAUCAAAUAUCACAUGAUCUCCUGAAUGGUGAUGUAGACUUUGAGAAUAUUAGACCUCCUGUAAUGGAAGGCUUAGAUACAUUAAUCAUGAGAAAGAAACAAUCUUCAAAGUCAAGUAGCCUUGAAAGCAAUGGUAGUUCUUCAAAUCAAACAUCACCUGCAUCUCAAUUGUUUUCUUCAAAAUCAUCAAAGAAGAUAUCUUUGUCCUCUGUGACUUCAAUUAUAGACGGCUUAAAGAGAUUGUACCUUUAGAAGUUGAAGCCUUUAGAAGUUACAUAUCAUUUUAAUGAUGUUGUAUCCCCAUUGUUGACAAAUAGUGAUUUUAUAUGCCCUUCGCCUUUACCAAAACCAACAGCCUCCACUUGUUCUUCACCAUGGAACCAAUGAUCUUCGCCUUUAUCAAAAUAGGUGUAGUUUAUAAGUUUAAAUCGCCUUUAUCAAAGUUUAAUAUAAGCAAGUUAGAGAGGAAUCAAGAAAGGGAGCACUUCAUCUAGGAUACAAACAAGCUUUGGCUUUUUGAGUCGUGAAUUUCUAUAGCAAGAAGGGCAUACUGCCUUCGCAACAAAGGAAGAGGCAGACAUUGAGUUUGUGGCUGAAGGCUUCAGUGCAAGACCUUGCUUCUCGUGCAGCUGGUCAAGCCAUGGCUGAAGCUGUAAAAAGCAUCAGCCUCCAAAUACAGUAUAUCAAUUUGAGGUUUCCUGUAGAGCCCUAUCUAGUGACCGUUCGCUACAGGCUCAUCUUCUGAAGGUCUCUGUUAGUUCAUAUUUUCUAUUUCUAUUUUACAUAAUAAGGCACCUAUAUGGGGUCCUUUAAGAUGAAUGUCCAUGUGAAUGUUAUUAUUUCUCGUCCAAGUCUCUUCAUUUGUCCUUGUAUACUAGCUUCUUUAACCAUGAUUGUUAAUUAUUACGUGUUUUGUAGCUUCUUUUA